rnacentral:misc_RNA from 1 species
GUUUUUGUGGUUGUUUGUAAUCGAAUAUAAUCAGAUGAUCAGAGUUUCUUCUCUGAAAAAGGAGCUUUUGUUUUCUGCUAUCUUGGUUAUAAUAAUUAAAAUCUUUUGUUUUUUUUUAGAUUAUUGGUUUUUUUUGGUUGUGGAUUUAAAUUCUGCUUUGUAGGGUUUUGGAAACUGAUGGAGCUUAUUUUGCUUGAUUGGAUCUCCGAUAGAUUUUCUUUUUUAGUUAUGUCUUAGAUGAUUUGUUUCGUUUUAAUUCACUGCCAGUUUUGUUUUUACCCUGAUAAUCUUUGGUGUUCUAUACCUAUUUGGACUUGUUCUUUGUCUCUCCUGGGCCAUCGCUUGAUCGUUUAGAAUUAGAUUGAGAAAUUGUUACUGGAUACUAUAAAAUGGGUUUGCUUUAUCUGAUAGUAAAUCGAAACUCUCCCUUUCUUUGUAUGCUUUUCCUAUGCCUGUUUGACUUUCAGUUUUCAUCUUGAAUGAACUGAGAAGAGCAUAGAUCUAUUUGCUUUACGUUUAUGGUUUGCCUGCAGGUUGAUCGUUUACUGAAAGACUGUCAGAAAUUGUCUGAUCUUCAUUGCCUAGCUGAGCACAGUUGUAAACCUGGUUUUGAAUUAAUAUUGUCGAGGUGUGAUUGAGAAGCCACUUAAGAGAUAUUUUGGAGGAACUUAUAUUGAUUCAUUUGUCUGGUAAGGCAUCAAGAAGGGUAAUACAGUGGCAGAAUCUGGAGGCAUGCCUGUAU